UUAAAAAGCUCGUAGUUGGAUUUCUGUUGAGGGCGACCGGUGUACACCUCGUGUAUUAUUUGGUUCGGUCUCGGCAUCCUCUUGGGGAACGUUUCUGGACUUUAUUGGACAGGGCGAGAUUCAAGACUUUUACUUUGAGGAAAUUAGAGUGUUCACGGCAGGCAAGCGCUUUGAAUACAUUAGCAUGGAAUAAUAAUAUAGGACCUUCGUUCUAUUUUGUUGGUUUCUAGAACUUAGGUAAUGAUUAAUAGGGACAAUUGGGGGCAUUCGUAUUAACGCGUCAGAGGUGGAAUUCUUGGAUUGCGUUACGACGGACUACUGCGAAAGCAUUUGCCAAAGAUGUUUUCAUUGAUCAAGAACGAAAGUAUGGGGAUCGAAGACGCUUAGAUACCGUCGUAGUCUAUACCAUAAACUAUGCCAACUAGAGAUUGGAGGGGUUCUCCUAUGUGGCUCCUUCAGCAUCUUAUGAGAAAUCAAAGUUUUUGGGUUCCGGGGGGAGUAUGGUCGCAAGGCUGAAACUUAAAGGAAUUGACGGAAGGGCACCACCAGGAGUGGAGCCUGCGGCUUAAUUUGACUCAACACGGGAAAACUUACCAGGUCCAGACAUAGUAAGGAUUGACAGAUUGAUAGC
rnacentral:rRNA from 1 species